rnacentral:rRNA from 1 species
UACGGAGGAUGCAAGCGUUAUCCGGAUUUAUUGGGCGUAAAGCGUCCGCAGGUGGUUUUCCAAGUCUGCUGUUAAAGCGCGAGGCUUAACCUCGUACAGGCAGUGGAAACUGGAUGACUAGAGUAUGGUAGGGGUAGCGGGAAUUCCCAGUGUAGCGGUGAAAUGCGUAGAUAUCGGGAGGAACACCAGCGGCGAAGGCGGGUACCUGGGCCAACACUGACGCUGAGGCGCGAAAGCUAGGGGAGCAAACAGG